rnacentral:rRNA from 1 species
GACGAACGCUGGCGGCGUGCUUAACACAUGCAAGUCGAACGGAAAGGCCCUGCUUUUGUGGGGUGCUCGAGUGGCGAAAGGGUGAGUAACACGUGAGUAACCUGCCCUUGACUUUGGGAUAACUUCAGGAAACUGGGGCUAAUACCGGAUAGGAGCUCCUGCUGCAUGGUGGGGGUUGGAAAGUUUCGGCGGUUGGGGAUGGACUCGCGGCUUAUCAGCUUGUUGGUGGGGUAGUGGCUUACCAAGGCUUUGACGGGUAGCCGGCCUGAGAGGGUGACCGGCCACAUUGGGACUGCGAUACGGCGCAGACUCCUACGGGAGGCAGCAGUGGGGAACAUUGCACAAUGGGCGGAAGCCUGAUGCAGCAACGCCGCGUGCGGGAUGACGGCCUUCGGGUUGUAAACCGAUUUCGCCUGUGACGAAGCGUGAGUGACGGUAAUGGGUAAAGAAGCACCGGCUAACUACGUG